AUUGAACGCUAGCGGGAUGCCUUACACAUGCAAGUCGAACGGAGUGGCGAACGGGGGAGUAAGGUAUCGGAAGGUGACCAGUAGCGGGGGGUAACUACGCGAUAGCGUAGCUAGUACCGCCGACUUUGGGAGCGGCCGAUGGGGGAUGAGCUAGUUGGUGGGGUAAGGGCUCACCAAGGCGACGAUCCGUAGCUGGUCUGAGAGGACGACCAGCCACACUGGGACUGAGACACGGCCCAGACUCCUACGGGAGGCAGCAGUGGGGAAUUUUGGCCAAUGGGGGAAAUCCGGAUCCAGCCAUCCCGCGUGUGGGAUGAAGGCCUUCGGGUUGUAAAGCACUUUUGGCAGGAAAGCGGUACCUACAGAAUAAGCACCGGCUAACUACGUGCCAGCAGCCGCGGUAAUAC
rnacentral:rRNA from 1 species